rnacentral:misc_RNA from 1 species
AGAAAGAAUUACGGAAAGCACAUAAUCUUUGCAUCACCGUCGAUGCAAUACAUCAUGAAAAUGAUGUAUGAAGGAUGUAGCGGGGUCUCCACCGGGGGCUUGCAAUGAUCGUCAUGUAUAGUCGUGUAUUAUGUG